AUAAACAAGCGAGUAUGGAAAUCAUCAACAUUUGCUUUUGACAUGAGUUUCCUUAUAAAUUGAACUUUGUCCAAUUGAUUUCUAAAACCUUCAAAUGUUUUAGUUAAACGAUCACCUUUGUUGGAUCCUUGUACUUUCCCUGUUUGUCUGAGUAAUUCUUGCCAUGUAAGACUUCCAUUCUCAGAAAACAUGCGUUCAGCGAAUUGUUGCUCUAAUUCUUCUAGGUGAUUCAAUGUAUACUGUCUUUUAGUAUGCUCAUUUGGGAAUAAUGAAGGGUAUUCAGUAAAGUGUUGAUCAAGUUUUGAAAUGUAACUUUCAACAUCCUUAUUUGGAUCGAAUUUCCCUAUCUCUGGUACAUGCUUCGAUAAUAUUUUUGCAAAAAGGUUUAUUAAAUGUUCGUCUGAUGUUUGAAUUCCAUCCAAAUUCUCUGGUCUCCAUCGUUUUGCUCUUGCUUUCAUAUAACGAUAAUUUGCGUAGGACAUUGU